GAUGAAGAACGCAGCGAAAUGCGAUACUUGGUGUGAAUUGCAGAAUCCCGUGAACCAUCGAGUCUUUGAACGCAAGUUGCGCCUCAAGCCAUUAGGUUGAGGGCACGUCUGCCUGGGCGUCACAUAUCGUUGCCUGAUGCCAGUUUCCUCGUGAUGGGUGACUGUGCAGGGCGAAUGAUGGCUUCCCGCGAGCAUUGUUGCCUCAUGGUUGGUUGAAAAUUGAGUCCUUGGUAGGGAGCGCCGUGAUAGAUGGUGGUUGAGUGACGAACGAGACCCAAUCAUGUGAGACCCCUACCGAAUUUGGCCUUCAUGACCCACAUGCGUCUUUGGAACGCUCAUGACGAGACCUCAGGUCAGGCGGGGCUACCCGCUGAGUUUAAGCAUAUCAAUAAGCGGAGGA
rnacentral:misc_RNA from 1 species